rnacentral:rRNA from 1 species
ACGCUGGCGGCGUGCCUAAUACAUGCAAGUAGAACGCUGAAAGAGGAGCUUGCUUUUCUGGAUGAGUUGCGAACGGGUGAGUAACGCGUAGGUAACCUGCCUGGUAGCGGGGGAUAACUAUUGGAAACGAUAGCUAAUACCGCAUAAGAGUAGAUGUUGCAUGACAUUUGCUUAAAAGGUGCAAUUGCAUCACUACCAGAUGGACCUGCGUUGUAUUAGCUAGUUGGUGGGGUAACGGCUCACCAAGGCGACGAUACAUAGCCGACCUGAGAGGGUGAUCGGCCACACUGGGACUGAGACACGGCCCAGACUCCUACGGAGGCAGCAGUAGGGAAUCUUCGGCAAUGGACGGAAGUCUGACCGAGCAACGCCGCGUGAGUGAAGAAGGUUUUCGGAUCGUAAAGCUCUGUUGUAAGAGAAGAACGAGUGUGAGAGUGGAAAGUUCACACUGUGACGGUAUCUUACCAGAAAGGGACGGCUAACUACGUGCCAGCAGCCGCGGUAAUACGUAGGUCCCGAGCGUUGUCCGGAUUUAUUGGGCGUAAAGCGAGCGCAGGCGGUUAGAUAAGUCUGAAGUUAAAGGCUGUGGCUUAACCAUAGUACGCUUUGGAAACUGUUUAACUUGAGUGCAAGAGGGGAGAGUGGAAUUCCAUGUGUAGCGGUGAAAUGCGUAGAUAUAUGGAGGAACACCGGUGGCGAAAGCGGCUCUCUGGCUUGUAACUGACGCUGAGGCUCGAAAGCGUGGGGAGCAAACAGGAUUAGAUACCCUGGUAGUCCACGCCGUAAACGAUGAGUGCUAGGUGUUAGACCCUUUCCGGGGUUUAGUGCCGCAGCUAACGCAUUAAGCACUCCGCCUGGGGAGUACGACCGCAAGGUUGAAACUCAAAGGAAUUGACGGGGGCCCGCACAA